CGGGGGGCAGCAGUCGGGAAUUUUGGGCAAUGGGCGAAAGCCUGACCCAGCAACGCCGCGUGAAGGAUGAAGUCUCUCGGGAUGUAAACUUCGUAAGAAUAGGAAGAAUGAAUGACGGUACUAUUUGUAAGGUCCGGCUAACUACGUGCCAGCAGCCGCGGUAAUACGUAGGGACCAAGCGUUGUUCGGAUUUACUGGGCGUAAAGGGCGCGUAGGCGGCAAUUCAAGUCAUCUGUGAAAUCUCCGAGCUUAACUCGGAACGGUCAGAUGAUACUGCUUUGCUAGAGUACAGAAGGGGCAAUCGGAAUUCUUGGUGUAGCGGUGAAAUGCGUAGAUAUCAAGAGGAACACCUGAGGUGAAGACGGGUUGCUGGGCUGAUACUGACGCUGAGGCGCGAAAGCUAGGGUAGCAAACGGGAUUAGAUACCCCGGU
rnacentral:rRNA from 1 species